GAUGAACGCUGACAGCAUGCUUAACACAUGCAAGUCUUUGGCGAAGCUGUGCUUGCACCGCCUAGCCAAGGCGGACGGGUGAGUAACGCGUAAGGAACUUGCCCUGCAGUCAGGGAUAACAGACGGAAACGACUGAUAAGACCUGGUAAAGUCAGGCGGACUCAUGUCCAGCCUGAUGAAAAGAGAUGCUGCAGGAGAGCCUUGCGUCCUAUUAGCUUGUUGGUGGGGUAACGGCCCACCAAGGCGACGAUAGGUAGCCGGCCUGAGAGGGUGGACGGCCACAAGGGGACGGAGAGACGGCCCUUACUCCUACGGGAGGCAGCAGUGGGGAAUAUUGGACAAUGGGGGCAACCCUGAUCCAGCAAUUCUGUGUGCACGAUGAAGGUUUUCGGAUUGUAAAGUGCUUUCAGCAGGGAAGAAAAAAAUGACGGUACCUGCAGAAGAAGCGACGGCUAAAUACGUG
rnacentral:rRNA from 1 species